AUUGAACGCUGGCGGAAUGCUUUACACAUGCAAGUCGAGCGGCAGCACGGGGGCAACCCUGGUGGCGAGCGGCGAACGGGUGAGUAAUACAUCGGAACAUGCCCAGUCGUGGGGGAUAACACUUCGAAAGAAGUGCUAAUACCGCAUACGUCCUAAGGGAGAAAGCGGGGGAUCUUCGGACCUCGCGCGAUUGGAGUGGCCGAUGUCAGAUUAGCUAGUUGGUGGGGUAAAGGCCUACCAAGGCAACGAUCUGUAGCUGGUCUGAGAGGAUGAUCAGCCACACUGGGACGGGGAAACGGCCCAGACUCCUACGGGAGGCAGCAGUGGGGAAUUUUGGACAAUGGGCGCAAGCCUGAUCCAGCAAUGCCGCGUGCAGGAAGAAGGCCUUCGGGUUGUAAACUGCUUUUGUCAGGGAAGAAAUCCUCUAGGUUAAUACCCUUGGGGGGAUGACGGUACCUGAAGAAUAAGCACCGGCUAACUACGUGCCAGCCGCCGCGGUAAAAC
rnacentral:rRNA from 1 species